CAGUAGCCGCGGGAAUACGAAGGGGGCUAGCGUUGUUCGGAAUCACUGGGCGUAAAGGGUGCGUAGGCGGAUUCUUAAGUCAGGGGUGAAAUCCCGAGGCUCAACCUCGGAACCGCCUUUGAUACUGGGGAUCUUGAGUCCGGAAGAGGUGAGUGGAACUGCGAGUGUAGAGGUGAAAUUCGUAGAUAUUCGCAAGAACACCAGUGGCGAAGGCGGCUCACUGGUCCGGAACUGACGCUGAGGCACGACAGCGUGGGGAGCAAACAGGAUUAGAUACCCCCGUAGUCCCUGUCUCUUAUAC
rnacentral:rRNA from 1 species